AAAAAUAAUAAUAAUAAUAAUAAUAAUUUUUGUCUUGUACAAUAAUAUUUUUUCGUACAUAUAUAUAUAUAUACGGAUAAUCUGUAUAUACAUUUGGUACAAAAGCAUAAUAAAGAUAAAAAUCAAUCAAAGGAUAAGGAAGAAUUAUAAUUAGACUAUCUAAUUUUCUGUACAUACUAUAUUUCUUAGAUACCUUACUGUUAUCUCUGUACACAACAAAUUCCAAAAGGGGGAGAGGGCCAGCUUCACCUUCACCCGGCCUCAUCCAGGCCUGAUCUGGGCGAGCCAACCGCCUUUGCUAGUAAUUGUAUCUAACAUGGCAGACGACAAUCCCUCUAAACGUCCUUCUUUGAAGGCUAAGGCAAAGUCCCACUACUUGCGCAGGCAGGACAAGGAACCUAAGGGCUCUAGACAGGACAAGGAACCUUCCAAGGCCGCCCAACGUGACGCCUUAAGGCGCCACAAAGCGUUGGAAAAAGAGUUUGACCGGCGUUCAAGGGAGUCCCGCUCGGAGCCGUCAAUACCUCCUCCUCCAAACCCUUCUACCUCUGCUCAAUCUCUCCCCUCAGACCCCUCUUCCCUACCUAGGCGCAGUUCGCUUCAGGGUCUUCCGACCCCCGGACCUCCGACCAGACGGACCCCCGAAGCCACCUUUACACCCACAGCCGCUGGUCUGCGCCACGAUGAACCCUCUACCUCCGAGGUUCCACCUCACAUCAGGGCUUGGAUGGAAUCAGCCAUCCGCCAGGGCAUAGCAGAGGGACUACAACACAUGACAAGAUCAGGCUUCUCUCCGCGAGCCUCCGAGCACGACUCGAUAUCAAUCAGAUCCCUUCCACAACCGGUCCCCCCAGUUGACCAGGUACUCUCUCAGAGGGACAGCCCUCCUCCGAUUGGGGCCCAGGUGGAGGAGGAAGGGGACUUUGGGGAUUUCAGGGAAGAGGAAGAGGAUUCCCGGAUGGGAUCCUCCCGUUACAGUGAACCCCUCUUAGAGGCUGACAUCAUGGAGGGGGAGAUGUCGGAGGACGAGGACCCUUCUCCCGACCAACCCUCCUUUGGGGGGCUGUUUAAACCGCAUAUGUUCAAGUCCCUCCUCCUUAAGGCCAAGAAUGUCUCUGGCCUUCUUUCCCAGUCCGCUGCAGAAACCCCCCCUGUCCCAGAGGGCCCGGAAGACUCCAUUUUCACCCAACCAGUGGUGGAAGCUGAGGUCAUCCCAUCCCCUCCCAUCUUCGUAGAUCUGGUAGCGAAGCAACUUACCUCCUCAGGGACCCCUCCCACUCCCUCUAGCCA
rnacentral:lncRNA from 1 species